UGUUACCAUGGUCCUGUGUAAAACAGAAGUUGUGAUUUAUUUACAGAGGCCCUUGCUUGCCUUUCCCCACGUUUUCCUGCUAUCCUAAACAGCUUCAGACUGUUGCUGGCGACGGUAACGUUACUAUAUGGCUUUCUUCGGGAUAACGAAUUUGGGCUAUCACAACCCCAUCGGAGACAAUAUGUUAGUGAGUCCAAGAUCGUCUGCUUCUCCCCGAGAUGAGGUUGAUUCAAGGAGCUGGGCUAAACAGUCAGGACUGCCCUCCAUCCAAGUCCAGACGGGACCCCUAAAAUGCACUGAUACCGGCAGUAUCUACAACCAGCCUUCUCCCUUCAGCCCAGACAUAGACCAAGGGAGCCAGGAGCGAUACAGAGAGAUGCUCAAACGGGUUCAGAUACCAAGAUGUAAGUUAGAUCCCCGAAUCAGCUGUACUCAGUGCCCCUGACAGACAGACAGCAGUGUGGAUGGUGGAUGCCUAAUGGAGGCCAAGGAAAGAUGCACGAACCCUGGACCAAAGUGAGACGAUUUCCCCAGCAAGAACAGUGAGAUGACCAAGUUUGUGAAAGAGAUGUCAAUGACGGACCGAGAGUUCAGCUUAUUCUGAGUUCCACUCCUGCAGUAACACACACACACACAAUCCCAUCCAAAGACCUCUGGGACCUUUAAACUGUAAGGACUAUUGUGGUUUAAUAAACUGAGACAUUUUCAUCA